rnacentral:lncRNA from 1 species
UCUUCCAUCUCCCAUCUCCCCUUCGAUACCACAGCACGGCAACCAUUCAACCCAAAUAGAAAGGGGAAGAAAAAAUUAAAAAAAUCUCCACCCUCUAAGAAGUCCAUCUCCAAUCCCCCUAUCUUUCUUCCCGAUGGCCCAGCUGGAUCGGAGUAAUGUGAGGGAAGGAAAACCAAGACCAAAACCAAAAAAGUGAAGUCCAUCUCCAAGCCCCCUAUCUUUCUCCCCUCUAUUUCUCUCCACCCAAAACAAAACCACCGUCCCCAAAUCCCUCCUCGCUCUCUCUCCCUGCCGGCCCAAGAAAAGGACCUCGCCCCAAAUCUCCUCCCCGGUGGCUGCGGCGGCGGCGAAGGAGGAGAAGCCC